AUAAGAAAUCUUCCAAGACCAGAGGAGCCAACUGAAUCUUCAAAUGUUGGCCGUGUAUUUGGGAAUAGAGUUGGUGCUUCAAGCAGCUGGAUGCCAUCAUUGACGCGCAUUUCUUCAGCCAAGUAAUUGGUAUGGAUCUGAAGUACAGGAUACACAGAAUGCAUUGCAGAUUUACCAAUGUCAUGAAGUUAGGAUUGGUGGAGUCCUUCAGUACCGGAUUGCAUUAUGUAUUUCUCUUAAGGUGACCACAAAAUGCAAACAAACACAUUCAAUGGAUUGAGUUACUUUCUAUUUUAUUGCUUUAAUUCCUUUGGAUCAAAGCCCUGGAUGUUCACCUGUGGAUCAGUUUUAACCUUGGUACCCAAGUCCAUCAGAGCGUGACCACACUAAAUCUGGUAUUGCAGACUAUUAUACAUGAUGCAAUGUAAAUGUGGAAGGGCUCACUGGAAGUCUGAUAUCAGGCCAACUUGCUCGUUGCAAGAAAUUCAUCUCUUUAUCAGUAUACAUGGGUCUGAAGCCUUUGUGUUUGGAGUUUCCCAGGUAAUAAUUUUGAAUCCAUUGUGUACAAUGUACAUGUUGUCAUGCAUACAUACCAUACUACUCGCAUAUUUCUGACAAUGACAUGGUAUAACCGUUUCAUUGAAUUUUUUCUCGAUACAGAGGUUCCAAUUUUAUAAGUUUUCUAAAGCUUUUUCUGCAGCUUUUUAUUUGCUCAUUUUGGAGGUGUCUUGUACACUGAUUAUUUAUUUUAUUU